rnacentral:rRNA from 1 species
GUGAGCAACCUGCCCUGGACUCUGGGAUAAGCGCUGGAAACGGCGUCUAAUACUGGAUAUGAGACGUGAUCGCAUGGUCGUGUUUGGAAAGAUUUUUCGGUCUGGGAUGGGCUCGCGGCCUAUCAGCUUGUUGGUGAGGUAAUGGCUCACCAAGGCGUCGACGGGUAGCCGGCCUGAGAGGGUGACCGGCCACACUGGGACUGAGACACGGCCCAGACUCCUACGGGAGGCAGCAGUGGGGAAUAUUGCACAAUGGGCGGAAGCCUGAUGCAGCAACGCCGCGUGAGGGAUGACGGCCUUCGGGUUGUAAACCUCUUUUAGCAGGGAAGAAGCGAAAGUGACGGUACCUGCAGAAAAAGCGCCGGCUAACUACGUGCCAGCAGCCGCGGUAAUACGUAGGGCGCAAGCGUUAUCCGGAAUUAUUGGGCGUAAAGAGCUCGUAGGCGGUUUGUCGCGUCUGCUGUGAAAUCCCGAGGCUCAACCUCGGGCCUGCAGUGGGUACGGGCAGACUAGAGUGCGGUAGGGGAGAUUGGAAUUCCUGGUGUAGCGGUGGAAUGCGCAGAUAUCAGGAGGAACACCGAUGGCGAAGGCAGAUCUCUGGGCCGUAACUGACGCUGAGGAGCGAAAGGGUGGGGAGCAAACAGGCUUAGAUACCCUGGUAGUCCACCCCGUAAACGUUGGGAACUAGUUGUGGGGACCAUUCCACGGUUUCCGUGACGCAGCUAACGCAUUAAGUUCCCCGCCUGGGGAGUACGGCCGCAAGGCUAAAACUCAAAGGAAUUGACGGGGACCCGCACAAGCGGCGGAGCAUGCGGAUUAAUUCGAUGCAACGCGAAGAACCUUACCAAGGCUUGACAUAUACGAGAACGGGCCAGAAAUGGUCAACUCUUUGGACACUCGUAAACAGGUGGUGCAUGGUUGUCGUCAGCUCGUGUCGUGAGAUGUUGGGUUAAGUCCCGCAACGAGCGCAACCCUCGUUCUAUGUUGCCAGCACGUAAUGGUGGGAACUCAUGGGAUACUGCCGGGGUCAACUCGGAGGAAGGUGGGGAUGACGUCAAAUCAUCAUGCCCCUUAUGUCUUGGGCUUCACGCAUGCUACAAUGGCCGGUACAAAGGGCUGCAAUACCGUGAGGUGGAGCGAAUCCCAAAAAGCCGGUCCCAGUUCGGAUUGAGGUCUGCAACUCGACCUCAUGAAGUCGGAGUCGCUAGUAAUCGCAGAUCAGCAACGCUGCGGUGAAUACGUUCCCGGGUCUUGUACACACC